rnacentral:rRNA from 1 species
GACGAACGCUGGCGGCGUGCUUAACACAUGCAAGUCGAACGGUAAGGCCCUUCGGGGUACACGAGUGGCGAACGGGUGAGUAACACGUGGGUGAUCUGCCCUGCACUUCGGGAUAAGCCUGGGAAACUGGGUCUAAUACCGGAUAGGACCACUGCCUGCAUGGGUGGUGGUGGAAAGCUUUUGCGGGGUGGGAUGGGCCCGCGGCCUAUCAGCUUGUUGGUGGGGUGAUGGCCUACCAAGGCGACGACGGGUAGCCGGCCUGAGAGGGGGGCCGGCCGCACUGGGACUGGGCUACGGCCCAGACUCGUACGGGAGGCAGGAGUGGGGAAUAUUGCACAAUGGGCGCAAGGCUGAUGCAGCGACGCCGCGUGAGGGAUGACGGCCUUCGGGUUGUAAACCUCUUUCAGCACCGACGAAGCGCAAGUGACGGUAGGUGCAGAAGAAGGACCGGCCAACUACGUGCCAGCAGCCGCCGUAA